AUAGCGGAGGAAAAGAAACUAACAAGGAUUCCCCUAGUAGGGCGAGCGAAGCGGGAAGAGCUCAAAUUUAUAAUCUGGCACCUUCGGUGUCCGAGUUGUAAUCUCUAGAAGUGUUUUCCGCGUUGGACCGCACACAAGUCUGUGGAAUACAGCGGCAUAGUGGUGAGACCCCCGUAUAUGGUGCGGCGCCCAACGCUUUGUGAUACACUUUCGAAGAGUCGAGUUGUUUGGGAAUGCAGCUCAAAUUGGGUGGUAAAUUCCAUCUAAAGCUAAAUAUUGGCGAGAGACCGAUAGCGAACAAGUACCGUGAGGGAAAGAUGAAAAGCACUUUGGAAAGAGAGUUAAAGUACGUGAAAUUGUUGGAAGGGAAACGCUUGAAGUCAGACUUCUUGCCGAGCAAGGUUGCCAGCAUCAGUUUUCCGGGGUGGAUAAUGGUAGAGAGAAGGUAGCAGUUUCGGCUGUGUUAUAGCUCUUUGCUGAUACACCUUGGGGGACUGAGGAACGCAGUGUGCCUUCGCUUUCUCGAGAUCUUCACACUUAGGAUGCUG
rnacentral:rRNA from 1 species